rnacentral:rRNA from 1 species
GUGUCAGCAGCCGCGGUAAGACGAACCGUCCUAACGUUGUUCGGAAUCACUGGGCUUAAAGGGCGCGUAGGCGGGCCAUCAAGUCCGGGGUGAAAUACUUCGGCUUAACCGGAGAAUUGCCUUGGAUACUGGUGGUCUAGAGGGAGGUAGGGGUCUGUGGAACUUCCGGUGGAGCGGUGAAAUGCGUUGAUAUCGGAAGGAACGCCGGUGGCGAAAGCGACGGACUGGACCUCUUCUGACGCUGAGGCGCGAAAGCCAGGGGAGCAAACGGGAUUAGAUACCCCGGUAGUCC